rnacentral:rRNA from 4 species
AGAGUUUGAUCCUGGCUCAGAUUGAACGCUGGCGGCAUGCCUAACACAUGCAAGUCGAACGGCAGCACAGCAGUAGCAAUACUGUGGGUGGCGAGUGGCGGACGGGUGAGUAAUGCAUCGGGACCUGCCCAGACGUGGGGGAUAACGUAGGGAAACUUACGCUAAUACCGCAUACGUCCUACGGGAGAAAGCGGGGGAUCAGCAAUGACCUCGCGCGGUUGGAUGGACCGAUGUUCGAUUAGCUUGUUGGUGAGGUAAUGGCUCACCAAGGCGACGAUCGAUAGCUGGUCUGAGAGGAUGAUCAGCCACACUGGGACUGAGACACGGCCCAGACUCCUACGGGAGGCAGCAGUGGGGAAUAUUGGACAAUGGGCGCAAGCCUGAUCCAGCAAUGCCGCGUGUGUGAAGAAGGCCUUCGGGUUGUAAAGCACUUUUAUCAGGAGCGAAAUACCACGGGUUAAUACCCUAUGGGGCUGACGGUACCUGAGGAAUAAGCACCGGCUAACUUCGUGCCAGCAGCCGCGGUAAUACGAAGGGUGCAAGCGUUAAUCGGAAUUACUGGGCGUAAAGGGUGCGUAGGCGGUUCGUUAAGUCUGUUGUGAAAUCCCCGGGCUCAACCUGGGAAUGGCAAUGGAUACUGGCGAGCUAGAGUGUGAUAGAGGAUGGUGGAAUUCCCGGUGUAGCGGUGAAAUGCGUAGAGAUCGGGAGGAACAUCAGUGGCGAAGGCGGCCAUCUGGAUCAACACUGACGCUGAAGCACGAAAGCGUGGGGAGCAAACAGGAUUAGAUACCCUGGUAGUCCACGCCCUAAACGAUGCGAACUGGAUGUUGGUCUCAACUCGGAGAUCAGUGUCGAAGCUAACGCGUUAAGUUCGCCGCCUGGGGAGUACGGUCGCAAGACUGAAACUCAAAGGAAUUGACGG